rnacentral:rRNA from 1 species
UACGUAGGGUGCAAGCGUUAAUCGGAAUUACUGGGCGUAAAGCGUGCGCAGGCGGUUUUGUAAGUCUGUCGUGAAAGCCCCGGGCUCAACCUGGGAAUUGCGAUGGAGACUGCAAGGCUUGAAUCUGGCAGAGGGGGGUAGAAUUCCACGUGUAGCAGUGAAAUGCGUAGAUAUCUGGAGGAAUACCGGUGGCGAAGGCGGCGUUCUGGACCAUUACUGACACUGAAUCGCGAAAGCUAGGGGAGCAAACGGG